UGGGGAAUAUUGCACAAUGGGCGCAAGCCUGAUGCAGCCAUGCCGCGUGUGUGAAGAAUGCCUUCGGGUUGUAAAGCACUUUCAGCGGGGAGGAAGGCGUUAAGGUUAAUAACCUUGGCGAUUGACGUUACACGCAGAAGAAGCAUUGGCUAACUCUGUGCCAGCAGCCGCGGUAAUACGGAGGGUGCAAGCGUUAAUCGGAAUUACUGGGCGUAAAGCGCACGCAGGCGGUCUGUCAAGUCGGAUGUGAACUCCCCGUGCUCAACCUGGGAACUGUAUUCGAAACUGGCAGGCUAGAGUCUUGUAGAGGGGGGUAGAAUACCAGGUGUAGCGGUGAAAUGCGUAGAGAUCUGGAGGAGUACCGGUGUCGAAGGCGGCCCGCUGGACAAAGACUGACGCUCGGGUGCGAAAGCGUGGGGAGCAAACAGG
rnacentral:rRNA from 1 species